AGUGAACGCUGGCGGUAGGCCUAACACAUGCAAGUCGAACGGCAGCACAGUAAGAGCUUGCUCUUACGGGUGGCGAGUGGCGGACGGGUGGGGAAUACAUCGGAAUCUACUUUUUCGUGGGGGAUAACGUAGGGAAACUUACGCUAAUACCGCAUACGACCUACGGGUGAAAGCAGGGGAUCUUCGGACCUUGCGCGAUUGAAUGAGCCGAUGUCGGAUUAGCUAGUUGGCGGGGUAAAGGCCCACCAAGGCGACGAUCCGUAGCUGGUCUGAGAGGAUGAUCAGCCACACUGGAACUGAGACACGGUCCAGACUCCUACGGGAGGCAGCAGUGGGGAAUAUUGGACAAUGGGCGCAAGCCUGAUCCAGCCAUACCGCGUGGGUGAAGAAGGCCUUCGGGUUGGAAAGCCCUUUUGUUGGGAAAGAAAAGCAGCAGGUUAAUACCCCGCUGUUCUGACGGUACCCAAAGAAUAAGCACCGGCUAACUUCGUG
rnacentral:rRNA from 1 species